rnacentral:snoRNA from 1 species
GAGCUGUGACGAAAUUGACUUCAGCGUUGGUUGGGUCCUUCGCAUUCUUCUGAUUUCUCAGAUGAUAUCGCCACACUCCUGAGCUC